rnacentral:rRNA from 1 species
AUUGAACGCUGGCGGCAUGCCUUACACAUGCCAGUCGAACGGUAACAGGUCUUCGGAUGCUGACGAGUGGCGAACGGGUGAGUAAUACAUCGGAACGUGCCCGAUCGUGGGGGAUAACGAAGCGAAAGCUUUGCUAAUACCGCAUACGAUCUACGGAUGAAAGCAGGGGACCGCAAGGCCUUGCGCGAACGGAGCGGCCGAUGGCAGAUUAGGUAGUUGGUGGGAUAAAAGCUUACCAAGCCGACGAUCUGUAGCUGGUCUGAGAGGACGACCAGCCACACUGGGACUGAGACACGGCCCAGACUCCUACGGGAGGCAGCAGUGGGGAAUUUUGGACAAUGGGCGAAAGCCUGAUCCAGCCAUGCCGCGUGCAGGAUGAAGGCCUUCGGGUUGUAAACUGCUUUUGUACGGAACGAAAAGACUCUGGUUAAUACCUGGGGUCCAUGACGCUACCGUAAGAAUAAGCACCGGCUAACUACGUG